CGUAACGCGUAUGCAACCUACCUCUGACUGGGGGAUAGCCUUCCGAAAGGAAGAUUAAUACCGCAUAAAACAGUGAAAUGGCAUCAUUUUAUUGUCAAAACUCCGGUGGUUAGAGAUGGGCAUGCGUAAUAUUAGCUAGUUGGUGAGGUAAUGGCUCACCAAGGCUACGAUAUUUAGGGGGUCUGAGAGGAUGAUCCCCCACACUGGGACUGAGACACGGCCCAG
rnacentral:rRNA from 1 species